rnacentral:rRNA from 1 species
AGCGAACGCUGGCGGCAGGCCUAACACAUGCAAGUCGAACGAAGUCUUCGGACUUAGUGGCGGACGGGUGAGUAACACGUGGGAACGUGCCUUUAGGUUCGGAAUAACUCAGGGAAACUUGUGCUAAUACCGAAUGUGCCCUUCGGGGGAAAGAUUUAUCGCCUUUAGAGCGGCCCGCGUCUGAUUAGCUAGUUGGUGAGGUAAAGGCGCACCAAGGCGACGAUCAGUAGCUGGUCUGAGAGGAUGAUCAGCCACAUUGGGACUGAGACACGGACCAAACUCCGACGGGAGGAAGCAGUGUGGAAUCUAGCGCAAUUGGCGAAGGCCAACCGCAGCCAUGCCGCAUGAAUGAUGAAGGACUUAGAAUUGUAAAAUUCUUUCACCGGGGACGAUAAUGACGGGACCCGGAGAAGAAGCCCCGGCUAACUUCGUGCCAGCCGCCGCGGUAACGC